CGCAUUUAUUUUGAGAGCGUUAGAGAGAAGACACACUUACUCCAGUAAGAUGGCUGAUGAAGUGGAAUCGUUGCUACCUGAUGGAGAGGUAUGCUUCUAUUAUCCUUAACCUGGACAAAACGUCUACUUACCUAAAAACGAAUGCAUACUUUACUGCAUAGGACAUGUUUGAAGAGAAUCUAGAUACAGUACGUAAACUUGAGACAUGCGCUAAACGCAUCCAUGAGAAGCAUCAAUGUAGCAGAUGC